GGAGGAACUGGAGAGGACUGAGUGGAAUUGGGGGAUGUUGGGGAGCACUGGGAGGGAACUGUGAGGAACUGGGAUGGGACCAGGGGGCACCAGGGGAAACUGGGAGGGGGAUAGGGUGGAACUGGGAUGGGACUAGGGGGGCGCUGGGAUGGAACUGGGAGGAACUGGAGGGAACUGGGAUGGGCAACACGCGUGGCAGGCAUCGAAGCCCAGCGCCAAAGGGGCUGCAGGGAGUGGUGCCUGACCCCAAAGCACAGGGAGAAGCAUCUCCCCCAAAAAACCCAGGGCUGGGGCCUGGCUCCCUGCAGGCAGCUCCGCGUCCAGACCCCGCGGCUUCCCCGCCGGCUGCCAAACCCACAGGGCGCUGCCGCCAGCAGCCCGUACUGGUGGAACUGGCCUGGCCCUGGCUAAAAAUACAGCACAAAACACGCGGCAGGGCCCGGCCCAGCCCUGGGCUGCAGCAGGAGGGGAGUCCCCGGCUCGCUGUGCCACCACCCUCUGCAAAAACAGCCGAAAUUUGUUCGAAUCGAGACCCCUCCUAAAAGGGGAAACGCGGUGGGCGAGCUAUUGAGGAACCCAGGGCACAGGGAUUGGGGCAGGCAGCCCCCAAGCCCUAUCCUGAUUUUUUUCCAAAAAAAUCUGCGGGUCCUCAGCAGCAGAGUGAGAAGCUCUGAUAACAGUUGUUUUGUAGGAGAUACACACGGACGGGCUGCUCCGACGUUUAUCUGUAAUAUUGAGAUGGAAGCGCUGCUGGCAGGGCUCCACCGGAGCUAUUUCCAGCUCUCCGGGCGGGUGUUUUCCUGCAGGAGCGUGGGGCUGGGUGCUCGGCCCUGCCAGGCUGAGAAACGGGGCUUGGCUGCGGCGGAGGCUGGAAAUGUCAGCGCAGAGUCCAGCGGGAACCAUCGAGGAACGGCCCCGGGCUGGGCAGGGCGGCCGGGUUCUUCUUGCACAAGCACCGUGGCUGCUUGGGUGCAGCCAGAGGAGGGGAAAAAAAAAGAAAGAAAGAGCUGCGUGACCUUAAAUACAGUCCUGUCCUACGCAGGGUGCAGAAAUGUGACUUCUCCAUUUCAGAGCUUUCUCUGCAGUUUUUAGCAGCUCUGGAAAACAGCACUGCCAGCGAGCUACUCGCACGCUGCUUUAGCGAACCUCCACUGCAGUGGCUCCAAGCUCUGCCCCCCGUUUUGUUUUCCCCAUGAAAACGUCGUUCCUGUUGUCCCAACCCUACCCCACUAUCAUUGUCUGGUUUUUAGAAGCAAGGGGAAAGCCAUGAGCCUGCCUUCCUGCACAUCCUCCGUACACCCAAACAGCCUGCCCACACCUGCAGAGAAGCGAUUUAAUUCGGCAUCCUGCGGCUCGAGGGGAGCGGGGCUGCGCUCGCAGACACGUGGGCACCUGGCAGCUGCGGCAGCUGGAGCAGGAGAAGCAGCAGCCACCUGGGCUGGGCCCGUGCCAGGCACCUUCCCUGCAGCUUCCUCGGCUGCCUGCCCCACCAUGAGCACACAGGAGGCCGUAGGAUGUCGUCUCUUCGCUCCUGAUUCAUCUCUCCGUCCCCCAGAGCACAAAAUAAGCCUUUCCUAGGAUAAAAUAACUGAUUUUAAAGACCAGUGCACUUCCCCACAACCCAUCCAGGACCGGAGAGCUAUGAAGUCAGGCCCACCUCCACCUAAAAAGCCCGAACCCCCCCAAGAACGAGAGCUGCCACAAAUGGGACCUCGCACCGAGAUGCGUGUUUAUUAAAACAAAUCACGGGCUGUACAGAACAAGCACGAAGCUGCUGAGCAUGCAGUCCCGGAUCUCCUUUAUCGCGAGGGACAGCCAUGCACACUUACACUGAGAGAGGAUAAAACUCCAAGUCAGGGUCAGUGCAAGAGGCUCUUGCAGAUAGAUUUGAGACAGAAAAAGAACAAGGGGCUUAGCAAGUACACUGAGAAAGAAGUUUUCAAUUAGAAAAAGGGUUAAAUAAAGCAGCAACCACUGUGGCCAGACAGAUGAUGUUCUUGGUCAGUAUAAAUCCCUCAAAGAUGGAUCUAGACUAAGCUGGGCAUGACCUCAAUGUGGCUUCUCUGGGGAAUUUACCGGGGAGACAGCAAACCUGGACACCAGCACUCUAGCAAAGCAUCGAUCACUAACAGACCGCUGCAGUUACGUACUAGCUCACUACACUCGCACAGCUUUCAGGGCUCUACCAGCCUCCUCCCUCUCUUUAGCCACCCAAGCACUGGGUUCACAGUCUCUCUUCUCAAACAAGCUGGUAGGCAGUCUGCAGCUUGUCACAGUGGCCCCUAAAAGGCUGGAGGAUUCGAAUGGUUGGGG